GAAUGCGUCUCGGUCAAAGCUCAUCCUUGUGGUGUGGCUGGACUGGCGUUUCCUAUCUUCCGAUAGUGGGGUCAAACUCGCUUCGGAUCGUUUACUUUGAAAAAAUUAGAGUGUUCAAAGCAGGCGCUGUGCGCCCGGAUACAUUAGCAUGGGAUAAUAGAAUAGGACGGCGGUUCUAUUUUGUUGGUUGCCUAGGACCGCAGUA
rnacentral:rRNA from 1 species